UUGGACUUCGGGAUCAAAAGUUGUGGCCAAAACAAUAUUGAAACUUUCUGUUUUUGCAAUUUUAGACAGAAAAACUGGAGAUAACUAGCUAACUAGUAGGGGUACACGUGGCAUGUUGCUUUACGCUGCGGGUGUUGUUUGUUGCAAUGUUUGGAGCAAACGGCCGAGGCUAAGCAAAACUGCUGGUUAAAACAUAAGUGAACUAAAAAACCGCUGGUUUCCUAAACUAAACCGAAAGGUUAUUCCUAGAUCUAAUCUAAACCAUCCACUACAGAUCUAAGGGCUAAAACUUCAAAAACAAAAC
rnacentral:lncRNA from 1 species